rnacentral:tRNA from 1 species
GCGGGUAUAGUUCAGUUGGUCAAAACACUAGUUUGUGGCACUAGAGCCGUAAGUUCAAAUCUUGCUACCCGCC